AACUGGUGAAAACUAUCUUUCUUGGAGUAGAUGGCUGAUAAUAGCUCUGCAAAAGAUGUAAAUGUGAGAUGCCUCUUAUUAAUUCACCUAGUUUUGAGAGAUGGCAGAGAGUGGAUAGUAUGGUAGUGUCUUGGAUUCCAAAUUCAAUUUUGAAAGAGAUAGUUGAAGCUUUCUUAUAUACAACUUGUACCAAGGAACUUUCGCAAGAGUUAGACCAACGUUUUGGAAAGAGUAAUGGUCCACUUUUGUUCCAAAUGAAAAGAGAUACAGGGUAUCUUAAUCAGGGAAACAUGUUUCUAAUGGUAUAUUUUACUAAAUUGAAGAAGAAGUGGGAUGAGUUGUCUUGCUUGUAUAAUUUACCUACCUGCACUUAUGGGGCCUCUAAAGCAGUAGCUUGUAUUGAGAGUGAAGAUAGGUUUAUGCAAUUUUUAAUGGGACUUAAUGGGAGUUAUGACCAUAUUAAGAAUCAAAUCUUGAUUAAGGAUUCACUCCCUAAUGUUAAUAAGGCCUAUUCAAUGGCCUUACGGUGGAGAAACAAAGGGAGGUUCAGAAUUUGGUGGUUGAGUCAAGCGAUACUACUACUAUAAUGUUUGCUAAGUCACAGGGAUUUAAGAAAGACAGUGGUUCAACCAAUUUUCUUUAAGCCUGGAUUUAAGAAGGAAUAUAACAAGAAGG
rnacentral:misc_RNA from 1 species